rnacentral:rRNA from 1 species
UACGUAGGGUCCGAGCGUUGUCCGGAAUUAUUGGGCGUAAAGGGCUCGUAGGCGGUUUGUCGCGUCGGCCGUGAAAACUUGGGGCUUAACCCCAAGCUUGCGGUCGAUACGGGCAGACUUGAGUUCGGCAGGGGAGACUGGAAUUCCUGGUGUAGCGGUGAAAUGCGCAGAUAUCAGGAGGAACACCGGUGGCGAAGGCGGGUCUCUGGGCCGAUACUGACGCUGAGGAGCGAAAGCAUGGGGAGCGAACAGG